rnacentral:lncRNA from 13 species
CUGAAUGUCUCAAUUCCAGUAGUUUUAAAUCUCAGCCAUAAAAUCACAAAAAAAGUGUGCUUUUUUUUUUGCACUGGAUGUGUAUAUUCAGUGAUUUAGUGAUCCAUCCCAUGACCUAGUAUUGCUAUUGCUGUUGAACGUGUAAUUCUCUACUUGCAGAUGGGCUUUGUUUUUCAUCGGUCUCCUAGGCUUUAAGUGGAGAAUGUUUCAUGAAAUAGCAUAAAGAACAGGUGCUCAGGACUCAUGAAGCAAUUAGGAGCGAGAUCCAGGUUAUCACCCAACAAAGAGGCAUCCUCCAGGGCUGGGAGUUGAGAGAAGCUGAGUGAAGAGCUGAAUUUGGCUCCUAGUUUCAUGGGCAUUAAGUUAAACUAAAAUUAGUAGUGUGCAUUGUGGAACGUGUGAAACACAGGGAGAAAAAUCACAUGUAGUUCAAGACCAGUGCUGGAGGGCCUUGGCAAAGCUUCUGGAAAAUGGGUGUGGCUAGGGUUGGUUCUGUGGUCUCAGGUCCACAACCUGACCGGCCAUGGACAAUUAACCCAAGUCCUAGGCUGCCUGCCAAGUGGUUUGCUAGACCCUGGGUAGUUGCAAUAUGAGGACCUGCCUAAACUCUUAGCAAGUUAUGUUCUUUCUAAUUGAAAGGUCACUGACUUGUCCUGAGGGAGAGAAACCUCCAGAGCCAGCACAUCCUCUAGUGUACUCUGUCUGUUCUGCUUUUUACUUCUAUGAAAUCAACUUUUCUUGGCUUCUGCAUUCGAAUGACAACAUGUGGUAAAAAACAUAAUGUCUUCCAGUUGCAAUCAUGUUCCUGUGAAUGACAGGAUUUUAUCCUUCUUAAUGGCUGAGUAGUAUUCCAUUGCAAAGACCAAAAAAAGUUUAGAAUUGAUAAACUAAUUCAGUGAAGUUGCAAGACAUAAAAUCAAUAUACAAAAAUCAGUAAUGUUUCUAUACCUAAACAAUGAAUUAGCUGAAAAAGAAAUCAACAAGGCAAUGCCAUCUACAAUAGCUAAAAAAAACAAACAAACAAACAAAAAUCAAAACAAGAAAACCACCUAAGAGUUAGUUUAACCAAGAAGAUGUAAAACCUUUACAAGAAAAACUGUAAAGCAUGGAUGAAAUAAAUUGAAGAAGAUACAAACA